UACGAGGGGUGCAAGCGUUGCUCGGAAUUAUUGGGCGUAAAGGGUAGGUAGGUGGUCUCAUUUGUCUGGGGUGAAAGCCUUGAGCUUAACUCAAGAAGUGCCCCGGAAACGGUGAGACUCGAGUCUUGGAGAGGGUUGCGGAAUUCCCGGUGUAGCGGUGAAAUGCGUAGAGAUCGGGAGGAACACCAGAGGCGAAGGCGGCAACCUGGACAAGUACUGACACUCAACUACGAAAGCGUGGGGAGCAAACAGG
rnacentral:rRNA from 1 species